rnacentral:rRNA from 1 species
AUACGUAUGUCGCAAGCGUUAUCCGGAUUUAUUGGGCGUAAAGAGUGAGCAGGCGGUUAAUUAAGUCUGAGGUUAAAGCGUGGGGCUCAACCCCAUAAAGCCUUGGAAACUGAUUGACUAGAGUACGGGAGAAGUGAAGGGAACUCCAUGUGUAGCGGUGAAAUGCGUAGAUAUAUGGAAGAACACCAGUGUCGAAGGCGCUUCACUAGCCCGAAACUGACGCUCAGUCACGAAAGCGUGGGUAGCAAAUAGGAUUAGAUACCCUAGUAGUCCACGCUGUAAACGAUGACAACUAAAUAUUGCCGCGAGGCAGUGUUGAAGCUAACGCAUUAAGUUGUCCGCCUGGGGAGUACGGUCGCAAGACUGAAACUUAAAUGAAUUGGCGGGG